ensembl:lncRNA
AUGGCUACAGUUGGCAGAGGACGUGCUGGUGCUGUUGUUGUGGUGGUGGUUGUAGUUGGAGUUGUUGUUGUUGUUGUGGUGGUUGUAGUUGGAGUUGUUGUUGUGGUGGUGGUUGUAGUUGGAGUUGUUGAUGUUGUGGUUGUUGUAGUUGGAGUUGUUGUGGUGGUGGUUGUUGUUGUUGUUGCUUUUGUUGUUAUAGUAGGGCUGGUGGUAGUUGUAUUAGGUUUGGCUGUUGUUGUGGUGGCGGUUGUUGUUGUAUUAGGUGUGGUUGUGGUGGUGGUGGUUGUUGUAUUAAGGUUGGCUGUUGUUGUUGUAUUGGGUGUGGUUGUUGUGGUGGUGGUGGUUGUUGUAUUAGGUGUGGUUGUUGUUGUAUUAAGGUUGUCUGUUGUUGUUAUUGUAUUAGGUGUGGUGGCGAUUGUUGUGUUAGGUGUGGUUGUUGUUGUGGUGGCGAUUGUUGUUGAAUUAGGUGUGGUUGUGGCGGCUGUUGUUGUUGUAUUAGGUGUGGUUGUGGUUGUGGCGGCGGUUGUUGUUGUUGUGGUGGUGGUUGUUGUUGUAUUAGGUGUGGUUGUUGUGGUGGCGGUUGUUGUUGUAUUAGGUGUGGUUGUGGUGGUGGUUGUUGUUGUGUUAGGUGUGGUUGUGGUUGUUGUUGUAAUAGGUGUGGUUGUGUUUGUGGUAGAUGUGGUUGUUGUUGUGGUGGCGAUUGUUGUUGUAUUAGGUGUGGUUGUGGUGGCGGUUGUUGUUGUGUUAGGUGUGGUUGUUGUUGUGGUGGCGAUUGUUGUUGUAUUAGGUGUGGUUGUGGUGGCUGUUGUUGUUGUAUUAGGUGUGGUUGUGGUUGUGGCGGCGGUUGUUGUUGUAUUAGGUGUGGUUGGUGUUGUGGUGGCGGUUGUUGUUGUGUUAGGUAUGGUUGUGGUUGUGGUGGCGGUUGUUGUUGUAAUAGGUGUGGUUGUGUUUGUGGUAGGUGUGGUUGUUGUUGUGGUGGCGAUUGUUGUUGUAUUAGGUGUGGUUGUUGUUGUGGUGGCAGUUGUUGUUGUGUUAGGUGUGGUUGCUGUUGUGGUGGCGAUUGUUGUUGUAUUAGGUGUGGUUGUGGCGACUGUUGUUGUUGUAUUAGGUGUGGUUGUGGUUGUGGCGGCGGUUGUGGUUGUAGUAGGGGUGGUUGUGGUGGCGGUUGUUGUGGUAUUAGGUGUGGUUGUGGCGACUGUUGUUGUUGUAUUAGGUGUGGUUGUGGUGGCGGUUGUUGUUGUAUUAGGUGUGGUUGGUGUUGUUGUGGCGGUUGUUGUUGUAUUAGGUGUGGUUGUGGUGGCGGUUGUUGUUGUAUUAGGUGUGGUUGGUGUUGUUGUGGCAGUUGUUGUUGUAUUAGGUGUGGUUGUGGUGGCGGUUGUUGUUUUGUCGGGUGUGGUUGUGGUGCCGGUUGUUGUUGUAUUAGGUGUGGUGGCGGUUGUUGUUGUGUCGGGUGUGGUUGUGGUUGUGGUGGCGGUUGUUGUUGUGUCAGGUGCGGUUGUGGUUGUGGUGGCGGUUGUUGUGGUGUCGGGUGUGGUGGCGGUUGUUGUUGUAUUAGGUGUGGUUGUUGUUGUGGUGGCAGUUGUUGUUGUGUUAGGUGUGGUUGCUGUUGUGGUGGCGAUUGUUGUUGUAUUAGGUGUGGUUGUUGUUGUGGUGGCGAUUGUUGUUGAAUUAGGUGUGGUUGUGGCGGCUGUUGUUGUUGUAUUAGGUGUGGUUGUGGUGGCGGUUGUUUUUGUGUCAGGUGUGGUGGCGGUUGUUGUGUUGGGUGUGGUUGUGGUGCCGGUUGUUGUUGUAUUAGGUGUGGUUGUGGUGGCGGUUGUUGUUGUGUCGGGUGUGGUGGCGGUUGUUGUGUCAGGUGUGGUUGUGGUGCCGGUUGUAAUAGGUGUGGUUGUGGUAGGUGUGGUUAUAGGUGUUGUGGUGCUGGUUGUGGUGAUGGGCUCCGUUUCUGUUGUGCGAGUUUCGAUGAUUUGUAGAAAUUGGGGGGGGGGUAAAGGAUUAAAAAAAAAAACAGUUUAA